rnacentral:snoRNA from 1 species
AUGNUAUGAUGAUAUGCCAGAGGUUUCGCUAUUUUAUUUCAUCUGAAACAUGUUAUGCUGAAACACCUUGGCUGACUGAGCAUU